rnacentral:rRNA from 1 species
GUGGGGAAUCUUCCACAAUGGACGAAAGUCUGAUGGAGCAACGCCGCGUGAGUGAAGAAGGGUUUCGGCUCGUAAAGCUCUGUUGUCGGGGACGAAUGUGCAGUAUUUGAAUAAAGUAGUGCAAUGACGGUACCUGACGAGGAAGCCACGGCUAACUACGUGCCAGCAGCCGCGGUAAUACGUAGGUGGCAAGCGUUGUCCGGAAUUAUUGGGCGUAAAGGGAGCGCAGGCGGGAAGGUAAGUCGGUCUUAAAAGUGCGGGGCUCAACCCCGUGAUGGGAUCGAAACUAUCUUUCUUGAGUGCAGGAGAGGAAAGUGGAAUUCCUAGUGUAGCGGUGAAAUGCGUAGAUAUUAGGAGGAACACCAGUGGCGAAGGCGACUUUCUGGACUGUAACUGACGCUGAGGCUCGAAAGCCAGGGGAGCGAACGGGAUUAGAAACCCUUGUAGUCC